CUACGGGUGGCUGCAGUGAGGAAUAUUGCACAAUGGGGGGAACCCUGAUGCAGCAACGCCGCGUGGAGGAUGACGCAUUUCGGUGUGUAAACUCCUUUUAUAUGUCAAGAAAAUGACGGUAGCAUAUGAAUAAGCACCGGCUAACUCCGUGCCAGCAGCCGCGGUAAUACGGAGGGUGCAAGCGUUACUCGGAAUCACUGGGCGUAAAGGACGCGCAGGCGGGUUGGAAAGUCAGGUGUGAAAUCCUACAGCUUAACUGUAGAACUGCACUUGAAACUUCUAAUCUAGAGUAUGGGAGGGGGAGAUGGAAUUAGUGGUGUAGGGGUAAAAUCCGUAGAUAUCACUAGGAAUACCUAAAGCGAAGGCGAUCUCCUGGAACAUUACUGACGCUAAGGCGUGAAAGCGUGGGGAGCAAACAGGAUUAGAUACCUCAGUAGUC
rnacentral:rRNA from 1 species